AGAGUUUGAUCCUGGCUCAGGACGAACGCUGGCGGCGUGCUUAACACAUGCAAGUCGAGCGGGGAUAUUGAUUGGAAGGUUUCGGCCGGAAGGUUGAUAUUCCAGCGGCGGACGGGUGAGUAACGCGUGAGCAAUCUGUCCCAGACAGGGGGAUAACAGAUGGAAACAUCUGCUAAUACCGCAUAAGACCACGAGGUCGCAUGAUCUUGAGGUAAAAGGAGCAAUCCGGUUUGGGGUGAGCUCGCGUCCGAUUAGGUAGUUGGUGAGGUAACGGCCCACCAAGCCCGCGAUCGGUAGCCGACCUGAGAGGGUGAUCGGCCACAUUGGAACUGAGACACGGUCCAAACUCCUACGGGAGGCAGCAGUGGGAAUAUUGGGCAAUGGGCGAAAGCCUGACCCAGCAACGCCGCGUGAGUGAAGAAGGCUUUCGGGUUGUAAAGCUCUGUCCUGGGGGACGAAGGAAGUGACGGUACCCCGGGAGGAAGCCCCGGCUAACUACGUGCCAGCAGCCGCGGUAAUACGUAGGGGGCGAGCGUUGUCCGGAAUGACUGGGCGUAAAGGGCGUGUAGGCGGCCGAUUAAGUAUGGAGUGAAAGUCCUGCUUUCAAGGUGGGAAUUGCUUUGUAGACUGGUUGGCUUGAGUGCGGAAGAGGUAAGUGGAAUUCCCAGUGUAGCGGUGAAAUGCGUAGAGAUUGGGAGGAACACCAGUGGCGAAGGCGACUUACUGGGCCGUAACUGACGCUGAGGCGCGAAAGCGUGGGGAGCGAACAGGAUUAGAUACCCUGGUAGUCCACGCUGUAAACGAUGAAUGCUAGGUGUUGCGGGUAUCGACCCCUGCAGUGCCGGAGUAAACGCAAUAAGCAUUCCGCCUGGGGAGUACGGCCGCAAGGUUGAAACUCAAAGGAAUUGACGGGGGCCCGCACAAGCAGCGGAGCAUGUUGUUUAAUUCGAUGCAACGCGAAGAACCUUACCAUGUCUUGACAUCGAGGUAAGCCUGCAGAAAUGCAGGGUGGAUUCGUCCGACCGAAGACAGGUGGUGCAUGGUUGUCGUCAGCUCGUGUCGUGAGAUGUUGGGUUAAGUCCCGCAACGAGCGCAACCCUUAUGGUCAGUUACUAACGGGUAAAGCCGAGGACUCUGACAAGACUGCCGGGGACAACUCGGAGGAAGGUGGGGACGACGUCAAAUCAUCAUGCCCCUUAUGACAUGGGCUACAAACGUGCUACAAUGGUGGUUACAAAGAGGAGCGAGCAUGUAAAUGUAAGCGGAUCUCAAAAAAGCCAUCUCAGUUCGGAUUGUGGGCUGCAACCCGCCCACAUGAAAUUGGAG
rnacentral:rRNA from 1 species